rnacentral:rRNA from 1 species
CCCUUAGAUGUUCUGGGCCGCACGCGCGCUACACUGAUGCAUUCAACGAGUUUUACCUUGGCCGAGAGGCCUGGGCAAUCUUUUAAACCUGCAUCGUGAUAGGGAUAGAUUAUUGCAAUUAUUAAUCUUGAACGAGGAAUUCCUAGUAAACGCAGAUCAUCAAUCUGCAUUGAUUACGUCCCUGCCCUUUGUACACACCGCCCGUCGCACCUACCGAUUGAAUGGUCCGGUGAAGCCUCGGGAUUGUGGUUAGUUUCCUUCAUUGGAAGUUAGCCGCGAGAACUUGUCUAAACCUUAUCAUUUAGAGGAAGGUGAAGUCGUAACA